rnacentral:rRNA from 1 species
CCUACGGGAGGCAGCAGUGAGGAAUAUUGGUCAAUGGGAGAGAUCCUGAACCAGCCAAGCCGCGUGAGGGAAGACGGCCCUAUGGGUUGUAAACCUCUUUUGUCGGAGAACAAAACCCGGGACGUGUCCCGGACUGCGUGUAUCCGAAGAAAAAGCAUCGGCUAAAUCCGUGCCAGCAGCGGCGGUAAUACGGAGGAUGCGAGCGUUAUCCGGAUUUAUUGGGUUUAAAGGGUGCGUAGGCGGUCCGUUAAGUCAGUGGUAAAAUGGCGGGGCUCAACCCUGUCGAGCCGUUGAAACUGGCAGACUUGAGUUGGCGAGAAGUACGCGGAAUGCGCGGUGUAGCGGUGAAAUGCAUAGAUAUCGCGCAGAACUCCGAUUGCGAAGGCAGCGUACCGGCGCCAGACUGACGCUGAGGCACGAAAGCGUGGGGAUCGAACAGGAUUAGAUACCCUGGUAGUC